rnacentral:rRNA from 1 species
UUGGCUCAGAAGCAGCCACCAUUUAAAGAGUGCGUAAUAGCUCACUGGUCGAGAGACGCUGCGCCGAAAAUGUCCGGGGCUCAAGCACGGAACCGAAGCUAUGGCAUGAUAGCAAUAUCAUGGGUAGGGGAGCGUUCUUAUAAGGAAGAAGCAUGACCGGAAGGACAUGUGGACGAAUAAGAAGUGAGAAUGCCGGUAUGAGUAUCGAAAAGAAAGGUGAGAAUCCUUUCCACCGAAAGCCCGAGGGUUCCUGAGCAACGAUCGUCGACUCAGGGUAAGUCGGGACCUAAGCCGAGGCGAGAAGCGUAGGCGAUGGACAACAGGUUGAAAUUCCUGUACCGGAUCAAGUCGAUCGAGCGAAGGAGCGACGCAGGAGGGCACAUGAUCGCGCGGCUGGAAGAGCGCGUCCAAGUGCGUAUGUUGCAGCAGAGGAAAACCCCUGCAGCUAAAAGCAGAGACAUGAUGGGGAGUUAAAGGAAACUUUGACGAACUCAUGGAUCCCACACUGCCAAGAAAAACUUCUAGCGAGACAAGAUCCGCCCGUACCGUAAACCGACACAGGUAGGCGGGGAGAGAAUCCUAAGGUGCGCGGGAAAACCCUCGUUAAGGAACUCGGCAAAUUGCAUCCGUAACCUAGGGAGAAGGAUGGCCCCCGGUCAGUGAAGAGCAGAAACGCUCAGAGCUAAAAGGGGCGGCAGAAAAGAGGCCCAAGCAACUGUUUACCAAAAACACAGGUGCCUGCGAAAGCGAAAGCUGAAGUAUAGGUGCUGACGCCUGCCCGGUGCCGGAAGGUUAAGGAGAGAAGUUAGCGAAAGCGAAGCAUCGAACUGAAGCCCCGGUGAACGGCGGCCGUAACUAUAACGGUCCUAAGGUAGCGAAAUUCCUUGUCGGGUAAGUUCCGACCCGCACGAAAGGCGUAACGAUUUGGGCACUGUCUCAACGAGGGACCCGGUGAAAUUGAAAUACCUGUGAAGAUGCAGGUUACCCGCGACUGGACAGAAAGACCCCAUGGAGCUUCACUGCAGCUUGAGAUUGAAUCCCGGUGACAGAUGCACAGGAUAGGUGGGAGGCGCCGAAGCAUUGCCCUAGGGCGGUGCGGAGCCGAUGUUGGGAUACCACCCUUCUGUUGCUGAGAUUCUAACGCGAGGAGUAACGACCCUGCGGACCCUCUCAGGCAGGCGGUUUGACUGGGGCGGUCGCCUCCGAAAGAGUAACGGAGGCGCCCAAAGGUUCCCUCAGGCCGGACAGAAACCGGCCGAAGAGUGCAAAGGCAGAAGGGAGCUUGACUGCGAGACCAACAAGUCGAGCAGGGACGAAAGUCGGGCUUAGUGAUCCGGUGGUACUGGGUGGAAAGGCCAUCGCUCAACGGAUAAAAGCUACCCUGGGGAUAACAGGCUAAUCUCUCCCAAGAGUCCAUAUCGACGGGGAGGUUUGGCACCUCGAUGUCGGCUCAUCACAUCCUGGGGCUGGAGUAGGUCCCAAGGGUUGGGCUGUUCGCCCAUUAAAGUGGUACGCGAGCUGGGUUCAAAACGUCGUGAGACAGUUUGGUUCAUAUCCAUCGCGGGCGUAAGAAGUUUGAGGGGGGCUGCUCCUAGUACGAGAGGACCGGAGUGGACGAAUCAAUGGUGUACCAGUUGUCACGCCAGUGGCAUGGCUGGAAAGCCACAUUCGGAAGGGAUAAACGCUGAAAGCAUCUAAGCGUGAAGCCCACCCCAAGAUGAGACUUCUCAUCAGAAAUGAGUAAGAUCCCUUAUAGACUAUGAGGUAGAUAGGCCGCAAGUGGAAGAGCAGUGAUGUUUGGAGCGAUGCGGUACUAAUAGAUCGAGGUCUUAACUUA